UGCAGAAUGAUUCCGACAUGGAGGAAGAAGAAACAGGAAACGGAAGCAACAUAUUCACCAUUGAAUCAGGCGAUGAGGAUACCGAUCUUUCGGAUGAAGAAGGCAGCAAUCGAUGAACUAAUGACAGAUUUCUCAGCUUCUAAUAAUGCUUCAUUAAUAAUGCCUCAUGCUGAAAGUUGGGAUGCAUAAUUAUCUUCAAACACCGGUUCUGGAUUAGCAGCAAAUUGAACUCCUCAUUAACUUGGCAAGCAAGCAAGCUUUCGAGCUGCAAUGGAAUCAAAUAAAUGA